rnacentral:rRNA from 1 species
UACGGGGGGGCGAAGCGUUGUUCGGAAUUACUGGGCGUAAAGGGCUCGUAGGUGGCCAACUUAAGUCAGACGUGAAAUCCCUCGGCUUAACCGGGGAACUGCGUCUGAUACUGGAUGGCUUGAGUUUUGGGAGAGGGGACGCGGAAUUCCAGGUGUAGCGGUGGAAAUGCGCAGAUAUCAGGAGGAACACCAGCGGCGAAGGCGGCGCUCGUGGGCCGGAACUGACGCUGAGGAGCGAAAGCGUGGGUAGCAAACAGG